rnacentral:rRNA from 1 species
UACGGAGGAUGCGAGCGUUAUCCGGAUUUACUGGGUGUAAAGGGAGCGUAGGCGGUUUAGCAAGUCAGAAGUGAAAGCCCGGGGCUCAACCCCGGGACUGCAUUGGAAACUGUCGCGCUCGAGUGUCGGAGAGGUAAGCGGAAUUCCUAGUGUAGCGGUGAAAUGCGUAGAUAUUAGGAGGAACACCAGUGGCGAAGGCGGCCUGCUGGACUGUAACUGACGUUGAGGCUCGAAAGCGUGGGGAGCAAACAGG